GAUCAGUAAAAUAAUGAUGUAUUUUACAAUUGAUGUGAUUGAUACAUCAUACAAUUUUUAGAAAAUGCUUUUAGUAUUAACAAAUGAUCAUUCAGUGGUUUGUAUACACCUGGUAUUAUUCUACAUGCUUGAUGUAUUAUUAAUUCAUUCAAUCUUCACAGCAUCUCAGGAGGGAGACAGUAACACCACUCCCGUGAUCCAAUUCUGAAUCUAAGCCCAAGUCCUACAAGAAAUAAACAGAAAAACCUGAGCUUGACUCAGCCUGUUUCCAGAAUGCUUGCUCACAUCAAAUAUGUUAGAGUAUCUUUUAUCUUAUAUAGUAAAUACUUUAUAGGUUUAGUUUAAGAAUUGUUACUCUUCACCACAGUCAUGAAGCUAUCUUUUUAAGUUCUAAAUAAUGUAUUAAAUUGUUUUUAUAUUUAGGUCUGUGAUCCAUUUGGAAUAGGUUAUGUGUGUAAUGUGAGACGGUAGAUUUUAUUUCCAAUGACGCAUAUUCACAUCCCUACAUUUAUUGAAAAUUUAUUUCCCCACUAAUUUAUCUUAUAUAUUAUUUGCCUAUAUAUGCAUGUGUUCGUUUUUAAGCUCUCUUUAAUUUUUUUCCAUUGAUAUUCUCCAUCUUUGUGCAAAUACUGAGUUAGUCCCUUCAUUUAAUGCAAGAAUUUUCCUCCAGUGCCCUUUCUGUUGUCCACUGUACUGUUCUAUAAUGAAGUAAAAGAAGGGUGAAAAUUUGCACACCUUACACCUACACCAGGAUUCCCAGCUGUAUCUUGAAGGAAGCGGAGGUUAGAACUUUCAAGAUUAAUGUCGACACUAAUGUCUCUAAUGUCCUUGUGAAUCUUAGGCAAUUCUCCCGAGAUACUUUCUGCUUUAUUGUGUGUGCGUGUGUUUAACGUUCUCAGUGAAUUCCAUUUGCUGUCAGGACUCCUGAUUUUCUUUCCCUGCUUUUAGGAUACUCAGUGACUUUCUACUCCCCUAGCAACAGCCAGCAGUGGUAGGAACCUGCACAGACAACCCCAGUACCUUGUGCGCGGGCGCAGACACGCCAAGGGUGGUGGGUUGCUUCCUCCAGACCACGCCCACCGAUGCCGGCAGCAGCUGGUGCAGCGGAGCUCAGAUCCUCUCUGUGGGGUCUGCACCGGCAAGGGCAGCUGCUCCCUGCCUUUCCUCAGGAGUCAGUGGAGGUUUAGACAUAUGCACCAGUGAAUCCUAACAACAAACACAUGAGCUUGGAAGGGGAUCCUUUUCCAAGUGAGCCUUCAGUUGAGAGCCCAGCCCUGGCCAUCAUCUAAUCUGGAUUCCUGGCCCAGAGAAACUCUUUGGAAUAAUUCACCAGUGAAGUCAUCUUGGCCUGGACGGAAAUUGGAUCCUCACAACAAUCACAAUAGCUUUGAAGGUGAUCCUUCCCCAGGACAGAGUCUUGCUGUGUCUCCCAGGCUGGAAUGCAGUG